rnacentral:rRNA from 1 species
CCUACGGGCGGCAGCAGUGAGGAAUAUUGGUCAAUGGACGAGAGUCCGAACCAGCCAAGUAGCGUGAAGGAUGACUGCCCUAUGGGUUGUAAACUUCUUUUAUAUGGGAAUAAAAUGUUCCACGUGUGGGCUUUUGUAUGUACCAUAUGAAUAAGGAUCGGCUAACUCCGUGCCAGCAGCCGCGGUAAUACGGAGGAUGCGAGCGUUAUCCGGAUUUAUUGGGUUUAAAGGGUGCGCAGGCGGCCUGUUAAGUCAGCGGUAAAAGCCCGGGGCUCAACCCCGGCGAGCCGUUGAAACUGGCGGGCUGGAGUUGGAGAGAAGUACGCGGAAUGCGCGGUGUAGCGGUGAAAUGCUUAGAUAUCGCGCAGAACCCCGAUUGCGAAGGCAGCGUACCGGCUCCACACUGACGCUGAAGCACGAAAGCGUGGGUAUCGAACAGGAUUAGAUACCCUUGUAGUC